GUGCUCGCUUCAGCAGCACUUAUACUAAGAUUGGAAUGAUACGGAGAUUAGCAUGGCCCCUGCACAAGGUUGACAUACAAAUUCAUGAAGUGAUCCAUAUUAAA